rnacentral:rRNA from 1 species
GUGUCAGCAGCCGCGGUAAUACGGAGGAUGCAAGCGUUAUCCGGAAUGAUUGGGCGUAAAGCGUCCGCAGGUGGCUGUGUAAGUCUGCUGUUAAAGCGUCUAGCUCAACUAGAUACAAGCAGUGGAAACUACACAGCUAGAGUGCGUUCGGGGCAGAGGGAAUUCCUGGUGUAGCGGUGAAAUGCGUAGAUAUCAGGAAGAACACCGGUGGCGAAAGCGCUCUGCUAGGCCGCAACUGACACUGAGGGACGAAAGCUAGGGGAGCGAAAGGGAUUAGAUACCCCUGUAGUCCUAGCUGUAAACGAUGGAGACUAGGUGUGGCCUGUAUCGACCCGGGCCGUGCCGGAGCUAACGCGUUAAGUCUCCCGCCUGGGGAGUACGCACGCAAGUGUGAAACUCAAAUGAAUUGGCGGGG